ACAUGGACAGGAAGUUACAGAGAUGGUUCGUGCUCGAAAGAGAACCUGCACACAGGUGCUGCAUGGCUGUCGUCAGCUCGUGUCGUGAGAUGUUGGUUAAGUCCCGCAACGAGCGCAACCCUUGCCAUCAGUUGCUACGAAAGGGCACUCUGAUGGGACUGCCGGUGACAAACCGGAGGAAGGUGGGGAUGACGUCAAGUCCUCAUGGCCCUUAUAGGUGGGGCUACACACGUCAUACAAUGGCCGGUACAAAGGGCAGCCAACCCGCGAGGGGGAGCCAAUCCCAUAAAGCCGGUCGUAGUCCGGAUCGCAGUCUGCAACUCGACUGCGUGAAGUCGGAAUCGCUAGUAAUCGUGGAUCAGCAUGUCACGGUGAAUACGUUCCCGGGUCUU
rnacentral:rRNA from 1 species